UACGGAGGGUGCAAGCGUUAUCCGGAUUCACUGGGUUUAAAGGGUGCGUAGGUGGGUCUGUAAGUCCGUGGUGAAAUCUCCAAGCUUAACUUGGAAACUGCCAUGGAUACUAUAGGUCUUGAAUACCGUGGAGGUGAGCGGAAUAUGUCAUGUAGCGGUGAAAAUGCUUAGAUAUGACAUAGAACACCAAUUGCGAAGGCAGCUCACUACACGAAUAUUGACACUGAGGCACGAAAGCGUGGGGAUCAAACAGG
rnacentral:rRNA from 1 species